rnacentral:lncRNA from 1 species
UGGGUGUACUCAGUGAGCCUCCAUGUUGGACACAAGCUCAAAUGUAAUAAGUGUGGAUGUGGAUGGUAGGAUUUGGGUUUAUCCUAUGGGGAGAGCACAUGGUUUUCAAACCUAUGCCUAAAUUAAGCUCCAUUUCCACCUGGUUUUGGUUUCCGACGCAUUUUGGUUUCACCAAACUAUCUUCUAGGGACAAUGUCUGUAGCAAUUGGGCUCUUCUUCUUCACUAGCAAUUGAGCUGACAGUAUCAUUCAUGGGAGAAACAGUCCCUCUUCAGCUUCUGUAGGAAAUGACGAGAGACUCUGAAAUGUGAACAUUGAAGGGGUUCAGAAGCUGUGGAGGUCAAAGUAGAGUUUGAGGGGCAGAGCGGUUGGGUCACUACCAAGCUGCCAGAUAUACCUUCAUCCAGGAACAAUUCUCAGGAUAAAAGAGAAUUUUUCUGGCUGGGGAAGGGAACUUGUUCUGUUUGACAAAGUGGUAACAUGGCUAGUGGAACAAAUUCUGUUCUUCCAUUCUAAAUGUGAUUCCUUUGAUUGUGGCAUUCCUGGAAGUUGAUCACAAGCUGCAAUAUCUUAAUAUCUUGCAGAAAAUAUAGAAACUAUUAUCAUUGAUAAGAAUGAAUGGGGAGAUAAAUAAUUAACAAAUCCAUAUAGAGUAUCUGAAAUUGUUCAUUGAAUAUAUCAUACUGAAAUUGGAAGUGGGCUUUUUGAGUGGAAUAUUAAGAAUGCAGAUUAUUCCUGAAAAAAAAAAACAAAAACAAAAACAAAAACAACAUUAUUUUAUAUACCAAGUGCAAUGAUAUUUUUCCAACACAAGAAUGAUUCAUAGUUCACAGAAGUUGUUUUUAUUUUUUUUGGAUUUUGGAUUUUUUUAGGGAUUUGGGUGUUUUCAAUUAAAAUGUGAAUUUAAUUUAUUUUUUAAAAAUUGCAUUGAAUGUUUAAAACCUAAGCAAUAUUGCAUGGCCAACAAGUUUAUUAACACAUAGAAUUUUUAUAACUAUUUAUCAAACAUGUUUAUUUUUGUUUGAAUAUAUUUAAAAUGAAAAUAACAUUCUAACUGUAAAUUCAACUGUUAAAAUUGGAAAAGUUUCAUACAGUCUUUACUAGACAGUGAAGAUUUUUAUUUUUAAAAUAUAUUACUACGUUUGAUAAAAUAACAUAAUUAAAAUCAUGAUGUUUAACAAGCCUAACAAGACUUAUCAUAUAUUCUAUUCAUAAGUUUGAAUUCAUCUUAUAGAGCUGCUUCUCUGUGUUUAAGAUUAUGUUCUAAUAAUUUAAUCUUAAAAAAAUAAAAACUAAAACACUACAAAAUUAAUUAUGCAGGACGUAAGAAUUUAUCAACACCAGAUGCUACCAAUUAACAAAGUAAAACAUCAUGAAAAAAAUUUAAAAAUAACUUUGUGCAUAAUUUGUCAAAAUACUACAAAGACAAAUAAGAUGCUUGAUGAAUUACUUGAAAGAUCAUAAGGUGGUGUAAGUGGUAUUGAGGCUUCAUUGACAAUGAUCUCUAUCUAGUUGUGAGUCAGUAAAGUGAUCAUAAAUGUAAAGAAAUAUCUUACGUGUUUAUCAGCAAUAAUAAUAGGGCAUUGUGUUAUUAUUACCACAUUGAAUGUGAUAACCUCAUGAAUCACCAAGUAAAGUCAUUGAAUUCCUUAAGCAUUUCCAUCCAUGGCAUAUAAAGCAGGCUCACCAGAAUCAUUUGUUUGUUAGAAGAUAAUUUUCCAAGGCCCUUUGUUGUGAACAAGCUACUUAAUGGUGUAUAAAACUGAUAAUCUUGUCAGUAUUUGUUAUCAAGAAAACUCAUCUUGAAAUAAAAAAAAUUAUCAUUCUUUCACAUAG